AAUGUUUGAUAGUUUUGACACCUUCUCCGCCCUAACAUUUUGGCUCUUCCACCACCACUUCCCCCAUCGCUCUUCGCUUCAGCCAUCCCUCUACCCUUCGCCACUCCUACCAUGUAUCAACCCAUCACCUCACCAAUCGCAAGACUGAUCCGAGUGCUCUCUCCUUACUCCUGCCUAAUUUUCUCGAACUGGGUUCUUCAGUCUGGAAGCCCAGCAAUGGCUCAAAACCUACAGUUGGAAAGACCCUUCUUAAGGACAGAGGUCUAUUUUUUAUGGAAAUCUAGUACUAGAUUGGUGUAUGAGCUCUUUUAGCAUUUUCUCUGCUGUUCAAUGUUCUUUUUAUUGGAGCAUUGACAUUUUUAAAGCCUCUAGGAGAUAAUAAAGUUGUUAUUCUUGAGGAUGAUGAGCAAAACAAGGAUAGACUGCAAGUAGCAUCACAUCCUGGAGUAGCCGAAGUCUGUGUAUAAACUUCACGUCAGAUUUGUUGGCCAACUCUUCUACAGGUCAUUGUUACUAAAACCAUUCACGUGUUAGCCGCUAAUCAGGAGGAGAUUCUAAUAGCUCUCAUGGAAAUGUUGACUUAUGCUGUAACUUCAGGGUGGGACGACUGGAACAUUAUUUUGCAGAAUUAUUACAACAGCAAAAACUGGUUCUAGAUAAUUUUGAUUAUUACAAGGGUGGUUUGGAAUUGCCUUAAUUAGGUUGCGAUUACACUUUUGUAUUACAAAAUUAUGUUUUGUAUAGGCAGAAAACUGAUCCUUUUGGAUUUCUUUUUUCAAUUCACUUUUGUAUAGACAUGAUCAAUACGAUUAAAGCAAAAAAUGUUAUGCAAAGAUUUCUUUAAUUUAUCUUGAGAA